CUCCCCGCCCUCGUUGCCCUCUGCCUUUCCCUCGCCGCGUCUACUGCGACACCUGCCGUGCCGGCUUCCAGACCGCCGUCAGCCAGUACAUUGCAGGUGCCAAGGUCAAGCUGCAAUGCAGAAACUACGAGACCGACGCGGUGGAGCACCUGGUCGAGGGCGUGACGGACAACACCGGCACGUACCACAUCGAGGUGGAGGACAGCCACGAGGAGGAGAUCUGCGAGGUGUCGCUGCUGCAGAGUCCGCAACCAGGCUGCACAGAGGUGGCGCAAAGCAGGAACCGUGCCCGCAUCCUGGUCACCGGCAGGAGCGGCUUGGCCUCCGACAUCCGUUAUGCGAACUCCCUGGGCUUCCUCAAGGACGAGCCGCUGCAACAGUGUGGGCUGUUACUGCAGCAGUAUGCUUUGGGCGUCGAUGACUAAGACAAG